rnacentral:misc_RNA from 1 species
UGAAAGGCGAAACGUAAUGUGAAUCGCAACUAACAGUGAAUCAUCGAAUCUUUGAACGCAGGCCGCACCUUGGACUAUCAUUCUGUGAUAGUUCAAGGUAUCCAUGUAUGAGUGUCAGCCUGACAUCAUUUUGGUUCAAGAAAAGUUUGAGAGUGUUGUAUCUCUGCAUAAAAACUUUUGAACACUAGAUAUGAUAUGUAAAUUUUACAUGUCUGGCCUCAUAUGUGGAAGGUUACCCGCUGGAUUUAA